CAGUAGCCACGGGAAAACGGAGGGAGCUAGCGUUGCUCGGAAUCACUGGGCGUAAAGCGCACGUAGGCGGCUAUUCAAGUCAGGGUGAAAGCCCGGGGCUCAACCCCGGAACUGCCUUUGAAACUAGAUAGCUCGAAUCUUGGAGAGGCGAGUGGAAUUCCGAGUGUAGAGGUGAAAUUCGUAGAUAUUCGGAAGAACACCAGUGGCGAAGGCGACUCGCUGGACAAGUAUUGACGCUGAGGUGCGAAAGCGUGGGGAGCAAACAGGAUUAGAUACCCCGGUAGUCCCUGUCUCUUAUACC
rnacentral:rRNA from 1 species